UCCGUAGGGGGCAAGCGUUGUCCGGAUUUCUUGGGCGUAAAGCGCGUGUAGGCGGCCAGAAAAGUCCGCUGUGAAAACUCGAGGCUCAACUUCGAGCUGUCGGUGGAAACUUUCUGGCUAGAGUCCGGAAGAGGAGAAUGGAAUUCCUGGUGUAGCGGUGAAAUGCGCAGAUAUCAGGAAGAACACCCGUGGCGAAGGCGGUUCUCUGGGACGGUACUGACGCUGAGACGCGAAAGCGUGGGGAGCGAACAGG
rnacentral:rRNA from 1 species